ensembl:snoRNA SNORD34 Small nucleolar RNA SNORD34
AAAUGUCAGUGAUGUUUUUUUUACCUACAUUGUUUGAUUAUCUAAAUGAAAAACAUCUUAGACUGAGACAUUC